ACACACACACACAAACAAACAAAGAGGCGUUAGGCUGAGACGCUGAAAGUCCGGAUUUAAAGUGCAGAAAAUUAAGCCAUUGAAUCUGCCUGUCCAUGACGUACAAAGACACACUAUGAGCCAGUAUGAUCCGACCAGACCUUACAUCAGCAUUGAGGAGUUGUCGGAGAAGAAAGAGGCUGAUUGAAGCGGGACAGAUGACAUGUGUCCCACACUUCAUAUAAGACUGGAAGCUACACUGAUCUCACAGCUACACACCACAGACGUCUACACACUGGAGAAGAUUCAGACAGAGUCCCACAAAGAAGUCAUGACCCAGAGGCUGCAGAGAAACAUUUCAAGCCUCAUCUGAGUUUUUGUACAAUAUUUUUGCUGUAUGUAAAUAAAGCUUUCACUCCA